CCUACGGGAGGCAGCAGUGGGGAAUAUUGCACAAUGGGGGAAACCCUGAUGCAGCGACGCCGCGUGAAGGAAGAAGUAUUUCGGUAUGUAAACUUCUAUCAGCAGGGAAGAAAAUGACGGUACCUGACUAAGAAGCCCCGGCUAACUACGUGCCAGCAGCCGCGGUAAUACGUAGGGGGCAAGCGUUAUCCGGAUUUACUGGGUGUAAAGGGAGCGUAGGCGGCGAUGCAAGUCAGAAGUGAAAGCCCGGGGCUCAACUCCGGGACUGCUUUUGAAACUGUGUUGCUAGAGUGCAGGAGAGGUAAGUGGAAUUCCUAGUGUAGCGGUGAAAUGCGUAGAUAUUAGGAGGAACACCAGUGGCGAAGGCGGCUUACUGGACUGUAAAUGACGCUGAGGCUCGAAAGCGUGGGGAGCAAACAGGAUUAGAUACCCCUGUAGUC
rnacentral:rRNA from 1 species